CUGACAUCUUCAACUGUUCUGUGAAGUCUGCUACAAUAUACUACACAAUGAUCACAAAUUUACCAAGUGACCACUGCAUGGUUGGCUGCCAGGGAGGAUACAGAUCUGCACAGCCCAUGAUUCUUGCCCUAGAGGAGUUUGGAAAAACUUUGAAUGUGAAAGCAGCAUGACAUACAAAGGUUUCUGUCCCACAAUUUUCCAGUGAUUCUACAAGGAGCAAAAUUCAUAAACAAAAGUUUUGAGCUAAAUACAUAACCACCAGAUGGCCAGCAGUGCCUGAGGAAUGUCACAUAUAUCCCACCUUGGGAAUUGGGGGAUAUGGUGGGGUGUUAGCUUGUGCUUUGCCCUCAGCUUGCCUUCUUCUCCCUCAUCAGUUAGACUAUCUCCUGGC